rnacentral:rRNA from 1 species
GGUUCGAUCAUGGCUCGGACCAGACGCUGGCAGGAUGCUGCCACGCAAGUCGAACGGCAGCACGGACUUUCGGUCUGGUGGCAGUGGCGAACAGGUGAGUAAUGUAUCGGAACGUGCCUAGUAGCGGGGGAUAACUACGCGAAAGCAGCGGCUAAUACCGCAUACGCCCUUCGGGGAAAGCAGGGGGACCUUCGGGCCUCGCACUAUUAAACCGAUAUCAGAUUAGCUGAACGGUGGGGUAACGGCUCACAAGGCGACGAUCCGUAGCUGGUUUGAAGGACGACCAGCCGCUGGGACUGAGACCUGGCCCAGGCUCCACGGGGGUAGCAGUGGGGAAUUUUGGACAAUGGGGGAAGCCUGAUCCAGCCAUCCCGCGUGUGCGAUGAAGGCCUUCAGGUUGUAAAGCACUUUGGCAGGAAAGAAACAGCACGAGAUAAUACCCGUGCAACUGACGGUACCUGCAGAAUAAGCACCGGCUAACUGCGAUGCCUAGCAGCCGCGGUAAUACGUAAAGUGCAGAAAAUUCAAUCGGAAUUACUGGGCAUAAAGCGUGCGGGCGGUUCCGGAAAGAAAAGAUGUGAAAUCAGAGCUUAACCUGGAACUGCAUUUUUUAACUACCGAAAGCUAGAGUGUGUCAGAGGGAGAAUUGGAAUUCCGCGUGUGAUGGAAAUGCGUAGAUAUGCGGAGGAACACCGAUAGCGAAGCAGCCUCCUGGGAUAACACUGACGCUCAUACGCGAAAGCGUGGGGAGCAAACCGGUUGAAUGCCUGGCUGGUCCACGCCCUAAACGAUGUCAACUAGCUGUUGAGGCAUUCCGGGCCUUGGUAGCGCAGCUAACGCGUGAAGUUGACCGCCUGGGGAGUACGGUCGCAAGAUUAAAACUCAAAGGAAUUGACGGGGACGCACAAGCGGUGGAUGAUGGAUUAAUUUUCGAUCUGGCACGAAAACCUUCCUACCCUUGACAUGUCUGGAUCCGAAGAGAUCGGGGUGCUCAUAAGGAAGACCCAGUUUCUAGUUGCUGCAUGGCUGUCGUCAGCUCGUGUAGUAAAGAGAUGUUGGGUUAAGUCCCGCAACGAGCGCAACCCUUGUCAUUAGUUGCUGAAAGGGCACUCUAAUGGGAGCUGCCGGUGACAAACCGGAGGAAGGUGGGGAUGACGUCAAGUCCUCCUUGGCCCUUAUGGGUAGACUACACGUCUGCCACAAUGGUCGGGACAGGGUCGCCAACCCGCGAGGCCCAAUCCCGGCUUGAUCGUAGUCGGAUCGCAGUCUGCAGCAAACUGCGUGAUUGGAACUCGCUAGUAAUCGCGGAUCAGCAUGUCGCGGUGAAUACCGGACCCGGGUCUUGUACACACCGCCCAUCACACCAUGGGAGUGGGUUUUGCCAGAAGUAGUUAGCCUAACCGUAAGGAGGCGAUUACCACGGCUAGGAUUCAUGACUGGGGUGGGGGCGUAACAAGGUAG